AGCAGCCGCGGUAAUUCCAGCUCCAAUAGCGUAUAUUAAAGUUGUUGCAGUUAAAAAGCUCGUAGUUGAAUUUCGGGGUUAGUAGGCCGGUCGUGCCACAGGUAUGUACUGGUCUCACUGAUUCCUCCUUCCUGAUGAACCGUAAUGCCAUUAAUUUGGUGUUGCGGGGAAACUGGACUGUUACUUUGAAAAAUUAGAGUGUUUAAAGCAGGCUAACGCUUGAAUACAUUAGCAUGGAAUAAUGAAAUAGGACGUUCGAUCCUAUUUUGUUGGUUUCUAGGAUUGACGUAAUGAUUAAUAGGGAUAGCUGGGGGCAUUAGUAUUCAAUUGUCAGAGGUGAAAUUCUUGGAUUUAUUGAAAGACUAACUACUGCGAAAGCAUUUGCCAAGGAUGUUUUCAUUAAUCAAGAACGAAAGUUAGGGGAUC
rnacentral:rRNA from 1 species